rnacentral:tRNA from 1 species
GGGAUCAUGGUCUAGUGGUAUGAUUCUCGCUUCGGGAGAAGCACCGCCCGGGUCCCGGGCAAGACUUAAACAGAGUCUGCGAGAGGUCGCGGGUUCGAUUCCCGCUGGUCCCC